CUUCGUUGCAUUCUCGCGACUAAUGGAAAUCACUGGUCAUCCAGAGACUUGCAUUAGCCGCGCGAACAUCUGCAAAAAGGAUCGUCACUCGGCAUGCGUUAUCAGCAACAGUCUAACCGACUCUAGUUUUAACGCUUACUUCUUUAACAACAACGAUUUUAACAACCGAAUUUGAGUUAACUACAAUACAUUAACCUGAUUUGCGAUUGCUUCCUAGAAGAAAGGGGCCAAUCUAGGCCCCUUUAC
rnacentral:sRNA from 1 species